rnacentral:lncRNA from 1 species
AUGGAGGAGGACAUCUGGACAGUGAGGAGGAGGAGGCACCUCGGCCCAUGCAGGACAUCCCUGAGGACCGGGAGAGCCUGGAGGUCAGGUGGCAUUUUUCAACGAUGCUGGAGCCAGUGCCCAGGAAGAGCAAAGGGUGUGCUGCCAGCCCCUGGCUCACCCAGUGGCUUCAUCCCAGAGGACCCCAGGGACUGGGGGUGAGUCUGUGUGUGGGGAGACCCACCGAGCCCUGAAGGGGGCCAAGAACGGUGUGGGUGGGGCAAGGCAGGUGGAUCUUGAGAUGUGACCCCAUUAUUUUGGCUCCAGAGCGACUUUAUGGAGGACAAGGUGGACCUGAAGGAGCAUGGGGAGAAACUAGAGCUUCGAUUCAUCCACC